AUGUAAGAGACAAUAUUUAUUAUAACCUUUGGAAGGAUAUAUUGCAAAUCUAUCUAUAAGUGCCAGAAACUAUUUAGUUCUCAAGAGAUUAUUUGUUUCUCAAAAGAAUUAUGGUUGUAAUUCUCAAAUUUGUGUCUACUCUCAUCCUCUUUCUUUCUUUUUUGUCUAUUGCAACUGGAGCUCGCCGAAUCCGUAGGUUGAAUUGCAAUUCAGAUGAUGGUUGUCCAAAUAAUUAUUGUACUCCUCCUCACUUUGGGAAGUGUGUUUCAAAACAAUGUGUUUGUAUGAAACUAGCGUGGUAUACAAAACCCUAGGUUUGAGGUGCAUGGAAAUGGCAAGUUAAAAAAUAAUUAGGUUUUAUUUCUAGACCUAUAGUUUUAUUUGCAUGGUAGAAUGUUGUUACUCUUAUGAUUUCUAUCGGACAUCCAUCUGUAUUUCUUUAAGUUUUGGCUUUCUUUGAUAA